AGUCAGCAGAAUUACAUAGACGUGUCACUUUAGCUGCAGACGCCGCCGAAGAAUGAUGUGGAUAUAUGUAUUGUGUAUCACUUUAACUGUACAGGCGGUUUUCGCUGGUCCACAGUCAACAGAAACUACAACCUUGAUGUCUCUUGGACAUGGUAUCGACGUACCAACGAAAUGUCAUUCCGGGUACGUCAACGUCAACGGGAAUUGCGUGAAGACUUUCAAGCUACCAACGGAUGGAAGGAGAUAAGCUGAUGAGUACCAUGAAAACAACAAAGAAUGGUACAACAAAUGCAAAAUUUCAUCUAAAAAGACAUACUUUGUAACUUUUGUAAAUUCAGUAUCAAAACUUUUUAAGUUUUGACAACAGAAUAUGACAUCAACAUGGAUAGUUAGACGGUCUGUAUUCCAUUCUUAAAUUAUAGACACUUUUAAGUCUUCUGAUAAAUAGUUUGAAUAAAGUGUAAUUCCUCACACGUAUUCUAAAAGAUUAAAUUUGGAACAUUUGUGAUACACAGCAAUACUGAAGUAGGUAAUGAGAGGAUUGGAUACAAAUAAAUAAUUGCAAGUAUACAAAAAGGGUCAUCAACUGGGAAAGAACUUCCUUGCAUAGCCUGGAAGAAGUAUUUUCCCUCUUUGUUACAUAUGAUUCUGAAUUCAAGAAAACCCUCAAUGAUUAAGAUGCCAAAUAUAAUUUUAUUGAUUUCUAGUUUUAACUAAUCUUCAAGCUGUCUUCAGACCUGUAACACAUAAAUUUGUAUCUAAGAGUCACAGAAGUGUAGAUUACUAAUACAAAAGUUCCAUAAAACGAUACACAUCAUAGCAAAGUUGCAAUAAUUAGUACACAAUUGCCACAUCAUGGGGCACAUCAUUACAAUUUGUGUGAGCAGGAUCGUUUGUUAUACAAUGGGACAAUGAUUUAAAUUACUGUAUUAUCAUAUUUACAUUGUCACAAUAAUAUUAUAGAGCAUUAAUACAUAAUUAGGAAAUGUAAACUGAAACUACAGCCCUUAACAACAUAAAAAUAUCAUGUACACUGUAAGACUGAGAUAGUAAAUAUAUGUGUGACACUGA